AUUGAACGCUGGCGGAAUGCUUUACACAUGCAAGUCGAACGGCAGCACGGACUUCGGUCUGGUGGCGAGUGGCGAACGGGUGAGUAAUGUAUCGGAACGUGCCCAGUCGUGGGGGAUAACGUAGUGAAAAUUACGCUAAUACCGCAUAAGAUCGAUGGAUGAAAGCGGGGGAUCGCAAGACCUCGCGCGAUUGGAAUGGACGAUAUCAGAUUAGGUAGUUGGUGGGGUAAAGGCACACCAAGCCAACGAUCGGUAGCUGGUCUGAGAGGACGACCAGCCACACUGGAACUGAGACACGGUCCAGACUCCUACGGGAGGCAGCAGUGGGGAAUUUUGGACAAUGGGCGAAAGCCUGAUCCAGCCAUUCCGCGUGCAGGAUGAAGGCCCUCGGGUUGUAAACUGCUUUUGUACAGAACGAAAAGGUUUCUACUAAUACUAGGAGCUCAUGACGGUACUGUAAGAAUAAGCCCCGGCUAACUACGUGCCAGCAGCCGCAGUAA
rnacentral:rRNA from 1 species